rnacentral:lncRNA from 1 species
CUUUGCUCCAUGAGAAGGAUCCACCUACGACCUCCAGUCCUCAAACCAACCAGCCCAAGGAACAUCUCACCGAUUUUAAAUCGGGCUGAUGUGUGCAGAACAGACUGAAGGCAUCAGGGGCAGCAAGAGGAGACCAGGAGGCAGCUGUGACAUUGCACUCAAGAGAAAUGGUGGCAGUUUGGACUCAGUGAAAGCUAUGCUGACAUUCA